AAAUUGAAGAGUUUGAUCAUGGCUCAGAUUGAACGCUGGCGGCAGGCCUAACACAUGCAAGUCGAACGGUAACAGGAAGCAGCUUGCUGCUUUGCUGACGAGUGGCGGACGGGUGAGUAAUGUCUGGGAAACUUCCUGAUGGAGGGGGAUAACUACUGGAAACGGUGGCUAAUACCGCAUAACGUCGCAAGACCAAAGAGGGGGACCUUCGGGCCUCUUGCCAUCAGAUGUGCCCAGAUGGGAUUAGCU
rnacentral:rRNA from 1 species